CGGAGGGUGCAAGCGUUAUCCGGAUUCACUGGGUUUAAAGGGAGCGUAGGUGGCUUUGUAAGUCAGUGGUGAAAUAUUGCGGCUCAACCGCAAAACUGCCAUUGAUACUGCUUAGCUUGAAUCAAGUCGAGGUGGAUGGAAUAAUACAUGUAGCGGUGAAAUGCUUAGAUAUGUAUUAGAACACCGAUUGCGAAGGCAGUUCACUAGGCUUGUAUUGACACUGAGGCUCGAAAGCGUGGGGAUCAAACAGGAUUAGAUACCCUGGUAGUCCACGCCCUAAACGAUGUAAACUCGACAUUAGCGAUAUACUGUUAGUGUCCAAGCGAAAGCGUUAAGUUUACCACCUGGGAAGUACGUCCGCAAGGAUG
rnacentral:rRNA from 1 species